UAGAUGAAAGCUCGUUGGUUUGAGCGCUUAGCUGUUAACUAAGAGUUUGAAGGAUCGAGGCCUUCUCAUCUAG
rnacentral:tRNA from 1 species